rnacentral:rRNA from 1 species
UACGUAGGGCGCAAGCGUUAUCCGGAAUUAUUUGGGCGUAAAGAGCUCGUAGGCGGUUUGUCGCGUCUGCCGUGAAAGUCCGGGGCUCAACUCCGGAUCUGCGGUGGGUACGGGCAGACUAGAGUGAUGUAGGGGAGACUGGAAUUCCUGGUGUAGCGGUGAAAUGCGCAGAUAUCAGGAGGAACACCGAUGGCGAAGGCAGGUCUCUGGGCCACUACUGACGCUGAGAAGCGAAAGCAUGGGGAGCGAACAGG